GAUGAACGCUGGCGGCGUGCCUAAUACAUGCAAGUCGAGCGAACGGACGAGAAGCUUGCUUCUCUGAUGUUAGCGGCGGACGGGUGAGUAACACGUGGAUAACCUACCUAUAAGACUGGGAUAACUUCGGGAAACCGGAGCUAAUACCGGAUAAUAUUUUGAACCGCAUGGUUCAAAAGUGAAAGACGGUCUUGCUGUCACUUAUAGAUGGAUCCGCGCUGCAUUAGCUAGUUGGUAAGGUAACGGCUUACCAAGGCAACGAUGCAUAGCCGACCUGAGAGGGUGAUCGGCCACACUGGAACUGAGACACGGUCCAGACUCCUACGGGAGGCAGCAGUAGGGAAUCUUCCGCAAUGGGCGAAAGCCUGACGGAGCAACGCCGCGUGAGUGAUGAAGGUCUUCGGAUCGUAAAACUCUGUUAUUAGGGAAGAACAUAUGUGUAAGUAACUGUGCACAUCUUGACGGUACCUAAUCAGAAAGCCACUGCUAACUACGUG
rnacentral:rRNA from 1 species